rnacentral:rRNA from 1 species
GACGAACGCUGGCGGCGGGCUUAACACAUGCAAGUCGAACGGAAAGGCCCUACUUUCGUGGUGUUCUCGAGUGGCGAUCGGGUAAGUAACACGUGAGUAACCUGCCCUUGACUUUGGGAUAACUUCAGGAAACUGGGGCUACUCUCGGAUCGCAGCUCCCGUUGCAUGGUGGGGGUGGGAAAUUUUCGGCUGGUGCGGAUGGACUCGCGGCUUAUGAGCUUGUUGGUGGGGUAGUGGUUUACCCAGGCAUUGACGGGUAGCCCGCCUGAGAGGGUGAACGGCCACCAUGGGACUGAGAGAGGGCGCAGAGGGCUACGGGAGGCAGCAGGGGGGAAUAUUGCACAAUGGGAGGAAGCCUGAGGAAGAAACGCCGCGUGCGGGAUGACGGCCUUCGGGUUGUAAAAAGCUUUCGCCUGUGACGAAGCGUGAGUGACGGUAAUGGGUAAAGAAGCACCGGCUAACUACGUG